rnacentral:lncRNA from 1 species
GCUUAUCAUCAAUACUUUAUCUCCUUUCUUUAGUCUUUUUUUGGCUUCCAUAUACCCCAAAACAUACCACAGGCUACUUGCGGACGUGUUUCCAAAUCGAUGAAGGGUCAUUCUAGCUGGCUCGAGAUCAUGUUCGGUUAGGUUUAGACUCUUUCCAACCCCAUCUAUCACUGCUUUUCCUCCUGUGUGUAGGCAGAAAUGCUCCGCUCCGGUUUUGAAGUUUGCCAUUGGCUUCGGCCAUCGGGGCUUCGAGGAGCUAGCUAGGGAGAUUUUGUGUAUUAUUGUUAGGAUUGUUAGCCGGAAUAUCUCGGUUAUUGGAAGGAUUUUUGGGGAGAUCUCUCUUAGAUUGUCUGUGAAUGCUCUUAUUGCUGCCCUUGGGAGACUCUUUCCUAGAUGGAAACCUUAAACAAAGAAAAAAAAAACUUUUGUUAGAAAUAACCUACAAGCAAAGAAUAAAAAGUUAAUUGAGCUCAGUAAAUUACUAUGUAUUAAUAUUAGCUGCACAUUCACAAACAAGUGGCGAAUUUAACAAUAGAAUAUAAAAUCUAAAAAUAUGUAUGCAAGUAAGAUUGUGAGUUAGAGUGUUUUUAUACAUCACCUCUCCUAAAUCCAGAAUAAAAUGGAUUAGAAUAAACGGUAGAAAUAAAAAUGAAAUAGUAAUACUCGUAUAACUUUAGGUUGGUCAUAUUCAUGGUGAAAUAUAACAUAUUUAAGGCAUUUUUACAAAGUUAGGUGAAAGGAAAAAUAAUUAUUUAGUAAAAAUUCCACAAUAUGAGUAUGGGAUCUUAAUAAUGGUUGGAAGCUAGAUUUAAAGAUCACAUACCGCUUUAACUAUUAAAUACAGUCUUAUGAAAAGAAUUAUUUAUUUAAAUCAUCAUAACGUAACUAUCUUUUGAUAACGAUUGGAUGUAGAUUUAAUCAACAUAUUUCUAAUAAUAUAAGAGUUACUUUUGCAAUUUCUCUUUCUUGAAUCUAGUGGUUGAAAAUUGUUAGUUACAUCAUGUUGCUUCCUUCAAAGUAGUAUAACGUGUUUGAAUAAUUAAUUAAAAGUAUUUAUUUUCAAAGUUUUGGAAAAGAGGGGUGAAUUUAAUUUUGAGAAACAAUUAUGAAAGAGAAUGACCGUAUGUAUUAUUUGUUUACCUAAGUUGCCUUGGUCAUCUUCUUUCUGAUAGCAACAUUCAUAAGACUCAUCUUGAGCUCCGUGGUGUGUUCUUACUAGACACUUGAGUUUCAACAAAGCUUUGUUUUUCAAACUCCUUUUAUUGGUCAAGAGUAUGGCCGCACCACCGGAACGAAACAGACAAUUUGCCAAAAUCAUGGAUCGAUCGUUACCAGAGUACCAGUUCGCAGUGAGUGACUCAGACGUGACAACAAUGCCGUAUGAGUUCAUGUGUGAUUUAAACAUUCUUCUCACAACAUCCACAGAAAUAAGACUAGCACUGCAUCCCAUUCCACUUAGAUUGAACACUUUUAUGUCUUCCUUCAUUUUAAACCUAUAUAUACAAUCAAUAUAUUUUAACAUCACAAAUUUUAGAAAAUGACAUUAAAAAAAGUUCUAAUCUCAAAUCUCAUAUAUCAAUUUUCAAGAGAAAAUGACAUCCAAAAAGUUCAAAUAUAUAGAAUAUUCGUGGAUCCAAAAGUUUAAGUGGAUGGAGUUACACUAAAUCUUACUUGUUAAUAAUUAUGGAGGCAAGAGAAGGGGAAGUGGACAACAUGGAGAUAUUGACGACGAGUAUAUCGAUUUGAGAAGGGGAAACACCAGAUUUUUGGAAAAGCUUAUGGAGACAGUCAAGGAAAAACUCUUCAACUUCAAUGAUACUAUCAACGAGAGAAGGGUGACUUUCUUUACCGGAGAAGACGACACGGGGACCGUAGGUUUGCUCGCCGAUACCGGAGUUGACAACGGCUUUGAGAAGGAAUUUGAAUUCUUCAAGUCCGAGAUUUUUGGUACGUUUCAUAAGGUCUCGACAGAGCUGAGUGCCAAGCAUUCUAUCCUCGCUCGGUUUGAAACAUUGAUAGUCUAAAAUGUAGCAUUGUUGGUCUCUUUUUGCAUCAAAAUGUUUCCAUAAUUUUAAUGCUAAAUAGAGUAAGGGGAUUGCAUAGAGUAAGAAGAGUGGCUCCAUGAGAGAGAUGAAGAGAUGGAAAAAGAAAAGAACAAAACAGAGAGAGAUUCCCAGAAAUGAAGCAAUGUGUUGAAGAAAAGAGAGGGCUCAGCUCUUAUAGCAAAGGGGAGCAGUUGGGAGACUUAACGCGUUUAUGAAUGCAAAUUGCCAAAUAUAUAUUUACAAUUUUCUAUUCUCAUUUUCAUUUCUUUUAUCCUUUUAAAAGUGUUAUUUAAUUAUUUUGGAUGGGGUGUAAAUUAUUUGCAUUCAAAUGUUUGAAAAUAUAGAUUUAGGAUUUUUCUAGAAUGAAAUAAAAAUAAAUUCAUAUAUUAUUAGGUAUGGGAUGUUUUGACUUUACUUAUAUGCAUGUGGUAAUUGGUAUAAUUAAGUGUAUUAAUUAAAUAAGUUUGUUGCAAAAUAUGUUUUAAUGAUAAAGAAAAUCACCCUAUUAUAUUCUUAAAGUUAUCUUGAUAUUCGUGAAUUGUGCUAUGAAAUAUAUGUUUUUAUAUUCAAUAUUUUCAUAUUUUUAUAGAAAUACCUAACAACAUAUAUUUAAAGUGUUGUGUAUAAAUUGUUAACGUGCAUUUUUAAAACGCUAUUUAUGAAUAGUAGAUUGCAUCAAAUUUCAUGUUAUAUAAUUAUAGUAAAUAUAUAUAGCUAAAGUUAUCAACUUAUUUAUAAAAUAUUUCAAAAAAAAAUUUGUCUGCUACAUUUAAAAUUAUUUUUGAACCAUUUUGCUAUUUGAAUUAAUUUAAAUCCAUGUGUUUUAAAGAAAUAUUUUUCACAUACACAAAUUUUAUUUUGGUAACAUUCCCAAACAACACACUCAAGUUUUCUUUUUAAAAUAUGCACCUAUAUUGAUUAUAUAUAAUAUAUAUGUUGAAUUAAUUCUUAAAACUUUGAGCUUGGUUUUCAUUUUUGGUUUCUAAAUUUUAAAAGUUUAGUUUUAAAACAAGGAAAUACAUGCUUUCAAUUUACUGCAACAACAUGUUAAAUUUGUAAUUUGAAUUCUAAUACUUAAUAAAGUAAGAGAGCUAAAUAAUAGAAAAAUAGAAAUUUAAGAUUCUUCAUGUACGAAGCCAUGAUGGUGUAUUUGUAGCUAUAGUUAGACCUCCUCAUCUUGAAGUUGUCGAGUUACUUAUUGGACUUUGGUUGUAUAAGGGUUGCACCAUCUUGUUUGUCAUUUAGCUAAGGUUCGACUUCAACUUAAUCUCAGUCGGAGCAAGGUCAAGCACAUUGGUUUGGGCCAAGGGCCAAGACAUCUCUUAGAUUGUCGUUUCUACCUCUGACCUUGAUAUUCAUGCUAUCUUUUCAAUUUUGUUGUUCAAUAUUCUUGUCAAAUAUAGCUAUCUUUUGAUCUCAAAUCACUCGUGAUAAAAAUUACUUUCUUUUUUCCACUUGUGUUGUCAGUUUUGUGAUACAGAUUAAACAAGUGUAUAAGUCUAUCUAGUUGUAACAACCUAAAAAUUUAAAGUAAUUUUGUUGCUUAAUUAUCUUGAAUAAUUUAUGACUAUAUUAUUAUGAGUGUUAUAUUCAUUGAUAUUGAAAGUCCAAAAAAAUUAUUUGGAGUAAUAUGUUGGAUUAAUUAAAUAUAUAUGUGUGUAAUUUAUAUUUAAUUAAAGAUUUUGAAAUUUGGGGAAGAUGGUUAUUAAGUAUAAUUAACACUUGAAAAAUUGAUGAUUAUAUUUCGGAAUAUAAUUAUUGAAAAAAAUUAUAGUAUCCCAAAUAAUUAUAAAAUCUUUAUUAAUUAUCUUCAAUUAUUUGGGUAUUGUUGGGAGGGUUGGAGCUAAAGUAGAAUUAUUGCUUUAGGAUAAUUCAUGUUUGAAAUUUUAAGAUAACUUAUUUAUUGAAAAAGAUUUUGGUUAAUUAAGAAAAUUGAGAAUUUGAAUUAAUUUGUGAUCUGGAAGGGAAAGUUAGUUUUUGUGGAAUUAGAAUUAAUUAAGUAUAUAUAUAGGGGUGUGUAUAUUUAAUGAAAUAUCAUUCUAAUCGUUAAAAAAUAAGAUAAUUAAUAAAAAGAGAUUGUAGACUUGAUUGAAUGGAAAAAAUGAUGGAUUUAAUUAGGAGAUGGGAGAAAAGUUUAGAUAAAUGUAUAUUUUUAUUAUUAUUAUUAUUAUUAUUAGUUAUAAAUGUCUAAUGGUUGGUGCAUUUAAGAUUUAAGAAUUGGUUGAGAAAAGAGAAUGAAAAUAAAAAAAAAUGUGUUCAGAAAGGAAAAUGAAAUAACAACCAUGAUGAUGAUAAUAAUAAUAAUAAUUACUAUUAUUUGGAUUUAUAAAUAAGUUUGGAGUUCGUAAAUUGAAAAGAAAAUGAAAAUGAAAAGGUUUUUCAUCUUCUUUCUUAGCAUAACUCCAGUAAUCGUCCUUAUUCGAUCGGAGUUGCCUGUCGUUGCCCUCAAUCAUCACUGCUCACCGAUUGCCCUCAAUCAUCACUGUUCACCGAUUUUACUUUGUUGAUCCAUGUAAUUUUGAAACGUUUUCUUUCAAAACUUGCGUAUUAGAGUAUAGAGUACGAAAUUGAAUCUCCGACCUCAAAAUUGAUAAUACAAAUCUGAGUUAUUAUCCUCGCUCGAAACAAUAAAUGGUGUGAAAUUAAAAAAAAAAAAAGAAAAUUGGUAGAUAGUUAAAUUUUUCUCAAUUCUUUUUAUAUACGUAAACCCCCUCCCUACACCUUAACUUAUCAAAAUCUUAAAUGACUGUCCACGGGAGACAAGCCAUUACUCCAUAGAAAAAUAGGUAAAUCUCUUCAACACAAAUCAAAAAAUAAAAGGAAACCCAAUAGUAAUAAAUGCAUGAUUUAUAUAUAUAAACAUAAAAAAAAUUCUCAACCCAUAUAAAUUUUGAAAACAAAUAGAAGUAAACUUUCCAACACUUGAAUCCAAUAAAAAGAAAACCUAUAUUAACAUGAUCAACUAAACUUCCAACAUCAAAAUAAAUUUUUUUUAAGAAAUCUCUCAACAACUAAUAACAUUUUUCCUUCAAUAAAAAAUCAAAUCAAACUCUCUUUUUUUCUUUUCCAUUUUUUCCAUUUUUUCUUAUUUGUUGAGAUUCAAAGUGACUUGAAAGUAGUUGCAUCUUCCUUUUGAAUCCAUCCAAAGGUUUCCAUGAAAGGGUUAGCCAAAGACAAUGGUGGAUAGCUAUUAAUGCAAUCUUCCCAUACAUUACCCUUUUUUCCACCCAACUCUCUCACCACUUCCCACAAACAACUAUUGCAUUUAAACCCUGCUCCAAAGUUAAUCAUCAAUACUUUAUCUCCUUUCUUUAGCCUUUUUUUGGCUUCCAUAUACCCCAAAACAUACCACAGGCUACUUGCCGACGUGUUUCCGAAUCGAUGAAGGGUCAUUCUGGCUGGCUCGAGAUCAUGUUCGGUUAGGUUUAGACCCUUUCCAACCCCAUCUAUCACUGCUUUUCCUCCUGUGUGUAUGCAGAAAUGCUCUGCUCCGGUUUUGAAGUUUGCCAUUGGCUUUGGCCAUCGGGGCUUCGAGGAGCUAGCUAGGGAGAUUUUGUGUAUUAUUGUUAG